rnacentral:tRNA from 1 species
GCGCCGGUGGUUUAGUGGUUAGAAUCCAGCCUUGCCAAGGCUGUAACCCGGGUUCGAAUCCCGGUCGGCGCA